AAUAGUUUAUUGCUAUGUGUUUGCAAUAUUCUUAAUAUUCAAUCAAAUACUCCUCCAAUCUUUUUGUCUUGAAGCAGAAAUCAAUGGAUAAAUAAGAAAUACCAGAUGUGUUUAUUUGUUAUCAAGGAAAAGGCAAAAGAAAACAAAAAGUGGUUGGUGGUGGCCACUUCUGCAGUCUGCUUGAAAAUAGUGUAGUUGAAAUUUGCUUCAGGGAGAAAAUGGGAUCAGAUUCAUUUCUUUAUCAGGAUCUGAUUUAUUCUGGUAUUUGGUGAUCUUUCCACUUCCUUUUCCACCUCUCAGAGAAUAAAGAAAAAAGAAUUCCUCUGAACCAAAUUCUUGAAGCAAUGAGUAUCCAAUUUAUCUGUUUUUCAUAAAAAGCAGUUAACUGGUCUCUGCCAUACAUUUCUUUGGAGCUAAAUGGACCCUUAAUGGUAAAUCAAGCAAUGUUUCUUGAACUAAAAGUUUCAGAAACUACUUAGUCUAUUGUUGUGCUUUGUUGAUGCUUACUUUUCAGAAAUAAUAGAUAUUUUGGUCUUUUUAUCAGGAUUCUAGCCAGGAAAUGGGGCUAGAUUUUGUAGUUACUGUUUCAUCAUGUGCAUUCAUGAUCAUAAAAUAUCACCCACACUUAUGCCCAAUUGUUUUACAGGUUCUGAGGCAAUGUUUGCAGAUCUUUGCUAUUUCUCUGUAGGAUCUGUUCAGCUAACUUUUGUGUUUUUGGUUCUGCCCUGCCUUCUGUUGGGAUACCUUGGCCAAGCUGCAUUCCUUAUGGAAAAUCUAACUACCUCUGAGCAGGUCUUCUUUUCGUCCAUCCCAAGUUGGGCUUUUUGGCCAGUCCUUCUCGUAGCCAACAUUGCUGCAUUGAUUGCAAGUCGGACAAUGACAACAGCGACAUUUUCAUGCAUAAAACAAUCAACAGCGCUUGGUUGUUUUCCUCGUCUCAAAAUUAUUCACACAUCACGGAAGUUCAUGGGUCAGAUAUAUGUUCCGGUCAUAAAUUGGUUUCUGCUGGUCUUCUGCUUGGCAUUUGUUGCCACCUUUGGAAGCAUAACUGACAUUGGCAAUGCAUAUGGCACUGCAGAACUUGGAAUAAUGAUGAUGACAACAAUUCUAGUAACCAUCAUUAUGCUUCUAAUAUGGCAGAUUAACAUCUUCAUAGUGCUUUUGUUUGUCAUAUUCUUUCUGGGGCUGGAAUUAGUUUUCUUCACUUCUGUUUUGGGUAGUGCGGAGGCUGGAAGUUGGGUUUUGUUGAUUUUUGCAGCAAUAUUGUUUAUGAUAAUGUACAUAUGGACUUAUGGGAGCAAGCUAAAGUAUGAAUCCGAAGUUAAACAGAAGCUUUCAAUGGAUCUGAUGAUGGAGUUGGGCUGCAACCUUGGUACCAUUAGAGCCCCUGGUAUUAGCUUAGUUUACAAUGAGUUAGUGAAAGGAAUUCCAGCAAUAUUUGGACACUUUCUGACCACCCUUCCAGCAAUCCACUCUAUGAUCAUAUUUGUGUGCAUAAAAUAUGUGCCAGUUCCUGUAGUUCCUCAGAGCGAAAGGUUUCUCUUCCGGCGUGUCUGCCCAAAGAGCUAUCACAUGUUCCGUUGCAUCGCUAGAUGGAUGAUAAUGGGAGGGAGCCUGGUAAGGUGGAGUUUUAUAAGAUGACUCACACCCAUCGAGAUGGCAGUUUUGUUCGGGAGGAGGCAAGAGAUAUAGUUGACAGGGCAACAACUCUUAUUUCAGAGCGUGUCGGAGAGUCAUCAUCAUCCGACGCGACCAGUCAUAUCGAAGUUCAGGUGCUCACCGAAUUAUUGGGCCCAGAGCGUUAUGGUCGAGUGAGGGGUUAUGGCAUUGGAGUUACCCCCACUCAGUUGUCUGCAGUGGGAAUGUAUACAAGAAAUGUUGGAGAAGGUAGUAGCAAUGCAGAAGUUAGUAGACUUCGGGCAACAAUUGAAGAUAUGAAGGAUCGCCAUCAGGCAGAGUUGGCGGAGCUGAAGCAGAACCAACAAACUUUGCAGUCUCAGCUUGAGCAUAUUUCAUCUAUGUUGCGGCGAUUUCUCCCUUCUCAGAUUUCUGAUACUUCAACAGCUCGUAGAGAUGAUGAUGGUGCUGAAUCCGGUCACUGAUAUUUUUGAGACCGUUAUCUAAGGAGUUUUAUAUGUAUCUUUCUUAUAUUUUUCAAAAUACAUUGUAAUUUUGAACUUAUUAUAUAAAUUUCAUCAUAUAUGACAAUAUAAAUUUUUUGAAUGAUCUGAAUGUUUG